UUACUUUUUAGAAAAAAUGUAAUUUAGUGAUAUUUUUGGGAACUAAAACAUGGUAUUUUGGUAUUUAUGACAAUUCCUCAAAACUUUAUGAACACACAGUUAAUGAUGACAAAAAAAAAAAAAAAAAAAAAAAAACACAGUUAAUAACUUUGCAGGUGUGUUAAGCAUAUAAAUUAAGCUAUCAUUCACAUAUUCACUUCGUCGUAAAUUAAUGGGCUACUAACAUAUUCACUAUGUAUUUUCACCAUAUAUCCACUUCACCAUGUACCAACUACAAAGUUCAUAAUUCCAUCUAAUCUAU
rnacentral:lncRNA from 1 species